AAGGCAUAUUGAACGGCUUUGUCCCUCUGCGCUCUCCGUUGGAAAACUUGAACCGAGAGGGUCAUAGGUAUGGCGGCCUUUAGGAUGAGAAAGUUGACAACCAUGCCUGCAGGUCUGAUAUAUGCAUCUAUAAAUGUGCAUCUGGCCAAAGAAGAGGAACCCAAAAAGCAGCUAGUGAGACCAGAACAGCUCCCCAUAUAUACUGCACCACCUCUCCAUUCUAAAUAUGUUGAAGAACAGCCUGGUUAUUUACAAAGGGGAUUUACUUCCAUCCGUACUACAACUGCUUAUUAUAUUGGCUGGUGCAAGGGCAUUUAUCUCUUUAUGAAAAAUGGGGUCAUGGAUACAGUACAAAUUGGAAAAGAUGCAUAUGUCUAUCUGAAGAAUCCUCCUCAAGAUUUUCUUCCCAAAAUGGGAGUGAUUACAGCUUCAGGAUUGGCAGGUUUGCUUUCAGCAAGAAAAGGUUCUAGGUUUAAGAAGAUUGCUUAUCCACUGGGACUGGCCACAUUAGGAGCAACUGAAUUACUCCCUGAACCAAAGGAAGAAACCAAGGAAGGAAGGCCUGAUGAAAUCCAUGCCAAAACGCCUGACCUGGAACAUUCGGUGUUUUUGCUAAAAGAACUUGCCUCUGCAACAAAGAUUAAAUCAGAAUCCACCUCAGGUACUACACAGUUUAUACCUGACCCCAAGCUCAUGGACCAUGGGCAGUCUCAUCCAGAUGAUAAAGAUAUGUACAGCACUAGAAGCUGAACUUGAAGCUACAUAGAGAACUGCAAGAUGUACUACGUUGCAAACAAUGAUGAAAAAAAAAUCACAUAAUGAACGGGUAACUGACAGAAUGUGACUUGAAAUUUUUCCAUGACAUUUUCAAAUAAACAGUUUGGUCAAUGAGACAAAUGGUAAAAACAUAAAUUAAUGAAUACAACACAAAUAAUAUUAACUGAUUGAUGAGGGAACUGAAGUAGUAGAAAUACUAGGAGUAUAUUCUAUGACUUGUAAUAGAAUUUAUUAGAAAGCAAAAUGAAGUGAAGAUAUAAAUGUCAGUAAGACUGAAUUCUAAAAACAUGCAUAUAAAAAUAUAUGUAUGUAUAUAUGUAUGUAUUUAUGUAUCUGCUUCAGUUUUCCCAAUUAUUGCCAGUUAACUUAGAAUGGGGUCUAGAACAAUAUGUUUUUCACUUGACUUUUUUUUAGUGCUGGAAUAAAAUAUCCAUAUUUUAUGGC
rnacentral:lncRNA from 1 species